GUGCUUGCUUCAGCAGCACAUAUACUAAAAUUGGAAUGAUGCAGAGAAUAUAAUCAUGGGUGCUGCACCAGGAUGACACGCA
ensembl:snRNA U6 U6 spliceosomal RNA